rnacentral:rRNA from 1 species
GAUGAACGCUGGCGGCGUGCCUAAUACAUGCAAGUCGAGCGAACGGACGAGAAGCUUGCUUCUCUGAUGUUAGCGGCGGACGGGUGAGUAACACGUGGAUAACCUACCUAUAAGACUGGGAUAACUUCGGGAAACCGGAGCUAAUACCGGAUAAUAUUUUGAACCGCAUGGUUCAAAAGUGAAAGACGGUCUUGCUGUCACUUAUAGAUGGAUCCGCGCUGCAUUAGCUAGUUGGUAAGGUAACGGCUUACCAAGGCAACGAUGCAUAGCCGACCUGAGAGGGUGAUCGGCCACACUGGAACUGAGACACGGUCCAGACUCCUACGGGAGGCAGCAGUAGGGAAUCUUCCGCAAUGGGCGAAAGCCUGACGGAGCAACGCCGCGUGAGUGAUGAAGGUCUUCGGAUCGUAAAACGCUGUUAUUAGGGAAGAACAUAUGUGUAAGUAACUGUGCACAUCUUGACGGUACCUAAUCAGAAAGCCACGGCUAACUACGUG